CACGUAGGGCGCAAGCGUUGUCCGGAAUUAUUGGGCGUAAAGAGCUCGUAGGCGGCUUGUCGCGUCGGCUGUGAAAACCUGGGGCUCAACCCCGGGCCUGCAGCCGAUACGGGCAAGCUAGAAUUCGGUAGGGGAGACUGGAAUUCCUGGUGUAGCGGUGAAAUGCGUAGAUAUCGGAAGGAACAUCAGUGGCGAAAGCGGCUUCCUGGACCAGAACUGACGAUCAGGCACGAAAGCGUGGGGAGCAAACAGG
rnacentral:rRNA from 1 species